GAUGAACGUUGGCGGCGUGCCUAAUACAUGCAAGUCGAGCGAACGGACGAGAAGCUUGCUUCUCUGAUGUUAGCGGCGGACGGGUGAGUAACACGUGGAUAACCUACCUAUAAGACUGGGAUAACUUCGGGAAACCGGAGCUAAUACCGGAUGAUAUUUUGAACCGCAUGGUUCAAAAGUGAAAGACGGUCUUGCUGUCACUUAUAGAUGGAUCCGCGCUGCAUUAGCUAGUUGGUAAGGUAACGGCUUACCAAGGCAACGAUGCAUAGCCGACCUGAGAGGGUGAUCGGCCACACUGGAACUGAGACACGGUCCAGACUCCUACGGGAGGCAGCAGUAGGGAAUCUUCCGCAAUGGGCGAAAGCCUGACGGAGCAACGCCGCGUGAGUGAUGAAGGUCUUCGGAUCGUAAAACUCUGUUAUUAGGGAAGAACAUAUGUGUAAGUAACUGUGCACAUCUUGACGGUACCUAAUCAGAAAGCCACGGCUAACUACGUGCCAGCAGCCGCGGUAAUACGUAGGUGGCAAGCGUUAUCCGGAAUUAUUGGGCGUAAAGCGCGCGUAGGCGGUUUUUUAAGUCUGAUGUGAAAGCCCACGGCUCAACCGUGGAGGGUCAUUGGAAACUGGAAAACUUGAGUGCAGAAGAGGAAAGUGGAAUUCCAUGUGUAGCGGUGAAAUGCGCAGAGAUAUGGAGGAACACCAGUGGCGAAGGCGACUUUCUGGUCUGUAACUGACGCUGAUGUGCGAAAGCGUGGGGAUCAAACAGGAUUAGAUACCCUGGUAGUCCACGCCGUAAACGAUGAGUGCUAAGUGUUAGGGGGUUUCCGCCCCUUAGUGCUGCAGCUAACGCAUUAAGCACUCCGCCUGGGGAGUACGACCGCAAGGUUGAAACUCAAAGGAAUUGACGGGGACCCGCACAAGCGGUGGAGCAUGUGGUUUAAUUCGAAGCAACGCGAAGAACCUUACCAAAUCUUGACAUCCUUUGACAACUCUAGAGAUAGAGCCUUCCCCUUCGGGGGACAAAGUGACAGGUGGUGCAUGGUUGUCGUCAGCUCGUGUCGUGAGAUGUUGGGUUAAGUCCCGCAACGAGCGCAACCCUUAAGCUUAGUUGCCAUCAUUAAGUUGGGCACUCUAAGUUGACUGCCGGUGACAAACCGGAGGAAGGUGGGGAUGACGUCAAAUCAUCAUGCCCCUUAUGAUUUGGGCUACACACGUGCUACAAUGGACAAUACAAAGGGCAGCGAAACCGCGAGGUCAAGCAAAUCCCAUAAAGUUGUUCUCAGUUCGGAUUGUAGUCUGCAACUCGACUACAUGAAGCUGGAAUCGCUAGUAAUCGUAGAUCAGCAUGCUACGGUGAAUACGUUCCCGGGUCU
rnacentral:rRNA from 1 species